GUGGGAAUGAAAGUAUGUAUGUGUGCGGAAUAUACAUUGAUACUGGAUAUAAGAUAAUAACGAUUGUAUUGGGUUUAAUUUGUUGCGAAAAAAAUGUUAUAUUUUUAUUUUGAAUACACAUAAUAUAUCCUUACUUCAUAAUAUGUAUAAUACUGUAUAUAUCUUAUAAAAUAUUAUGUAAUCUCUCUCAGGAAAAAUUGAUACGACACGUGCAUUUUGAGAUUAAACUGAAGAUUAUAUUUAAAGGAAAUUUGUGAUUAAAUUUCUUAGACAGUUUACGGAGUAUGGUAUGAUACCAACGAUACAAACUUACUGAUUGACUAUUUAGAUAUUGAGCGUCACUUUUUUUGCACUAUUGGUUAUUUUGUGCGACCAGUUUUUAUUUGCGGAGGAAGUCCGGAGUGCGGAAAGAACAGUGGCGGAAGAAGGGGGUCCAGGGAUUAGAACUUUUAAUUUCUCUUGGCGAUCAAUGGGUUUGAAUUGGGACAUAUGGUUGGACGCCCCCCUUUUUAUCCUGGGAUGAGAACCUCCCUUAUAAAAAUGGCUGAAUCCGCCCCUGGAGAACCUCCAUCCAGGAAAACAUGAAGACAACACAUACACAGUAAACUGUAAAGUAUUUGUCAAUAAUAAGCGUUAAAGGUGUACUAAAAUAUCACCUAGAAUUAAAAAUCAAGUCAAAUGAGCAUUAGUUAAGGGACC
rnacentral:lncRNA from 1 species